rnacentral:rRNA from 1 species
AUUGAACGCUGGCGGCAGGCCUAACACAUGCAAGUCGAACGAGUGGCGGACGGGUGAGUAAUGUCUGGGAAACUGCCUGAUGGAGGGGGAUAACUACUGGAAACGGUAGCUAAUACCGCAUACCAUCAGAUGUGCCCCGAUGGGAUUAGCUUGUUGGUGGGGUAACGCCUCACCAAGGCGACGAUCCCCAGCUGGUCAGAAAGGAUUACCAGCCACACGGAGACUGAGACACGGUCCAGACUCCUACGGGAGGCAGCAGGGGGGAAUAUUGCACAAUGGGCGCAGGCCUGAUGCAGCAAUGCCGCGUGUAUGAAGAAGGCCUGCGGGUGGUAGAGUACGUUCAGCGGGGAGGCGUUACCCGCAGAAAAAGCACCGGCUAACUCCGUGCCAGAAGCCGCGGUAAUUC